AUUGAACGCUGGCGGCAGGCCUAACACAUGCAAGUCGAACGAGUGGCGGACGGGUGAGUAAUGUCUGGGAAACUGCCUGAUGGAGGGGGAUAACUACUGGAAACGGUAGCUAAUACCGCAUACCAUCGGAUGUGCCCAGAUGGGAUUAGCUAGUAGGUGGGGUAAAGGCUCACCUAGGCGACGAUCCCUAGCUGGUCUGAGAGGAUGACAAGCAACACUGGAACUGAGACACGGUCCAGACGCCGACGGGAGGAAGGAGGGGGGAAGAUUGCACAAUGGGCGCAAGCCGUAUGCAGCCAUGCCGCGUGUAUGAAGAAGGCCGUCGGGUUGUAAAGGACUGUCAGCGGGGAGGCGUUACCCGCAGAAGAAGCACCGGCUAACGCCGGGCCAGCAGCCGCGGUAAUAC
rnacentral:rRNA from 1 species